rnacentral:rRNA from 1 species
UACGUAGGGUGCGAGCGUUAAUCGGAAUUACUGGGCGUAAAGCGUGCAUAGGUGGUUCGUUGUGUCUGUGGUGAAAGCCCCGGGCUUAACCUGGGAAUGGCCAUGGAAACUGGCGAGCUGGAGUCUGGCAGAGGGGGGUGGAAUUCCGCGUGUAGCAGUGAAAUGCGUAGAGAUGCGGAGGAACACCGAUGGCGAAGGCAGCCCCCUGGGCUAAGACUGACGCUGAGGCACGAAAGCGUGGGGAGCAAACAGG